GUUGUAAGGAAGCCCAGGCAAGUGGAGUGGUCACAGGCAGGUGUUCCAGCCAACAGCCCCAGCUGAGGUCCAGCCCACAGCCAGCAUCAACCAUCGGAGGUCGCCUGUCAAAUAAGCCACUCAACACCUUGCAAUCAACACCUUUCUGAGGGUCUGCUUCUGGAGAAACACAGACAAAGGUGCCUUCCAAGAAAAGCAAGUGGUGAGGCCAUGUUAAUAAGAGAGAAAAAACGAGGCAUGGGGAAAACGCCUGGAUAGAGAGACACACAGAUGAAGAUACCUGCAAUGUUGGUCUUAUGGAAACCAUCAGAUGCAAUGGGAGGCUACUUGCCAUAGUCUGGAGCUACAGAGAAAAGCAGGCUGCAGAUGGCAAGGUGGAGCCAUCGUGGGAGGAGUUGCUUGUAGACAGGACGCCUAACCAGCUAUUCUUAAAAUGUUGCAUUCUUCCAUUUUAAUCUCACUCAUUAUUGAAUCAUUAAUAAUGAUUUAUAUGACAUUGACUUUUUUCAGAAAUCUUGACUAACUCUUUGACAAGAGAUUAAUAAAGAGUGGGACUUCAGAUGUCAAGUUUUUAUGAGCAAAAGUGUCCAAGGCCAUCUCUAGAUGGGUAUUCUUGGCUGUAUUCACCACGCUCUCCAG
rnacentral:lncRNA from 1 species